rnacentral:miRNA from 1 species
GACUUCGAAUAUCGACGCCAUAAACACCAAAGUUGAUCGUGUUUAUGAUGUCGAAUAUCGACGUCAUAAACACCAAAGUUGAUCGUGUUUAUGACUUCGAAUAUCGACGUC